ensembl:lncRNA
AUUUAUUUAAGCCCAUAACCAUGUGUGUGAGGAGGAUACUUUUGUUUCAAAGUAGAUUUGUUUAAGACUACCAAGAAACACUUUGUGUGACCCUGAUUUAACCCACUGCAGUAAAAGGUUAAAAGCAGUUGCUCUAUAAAGACAAAAGACGACAGACGUGAGGUAGGGCGGCCAUUUUCAAAUUGAGUUAAGGGAGGAAAUUUAGGAAUGUUCUGACAUUGGAAUUUUUUGCCAAAAUUAGAGUUGAGGGAAAAGGUCGAACAGUUUUGGACUGGUUUGGUUUUAGCUACAGUCCAAGAGGUUGAGAUUAUAUUGACCUAUUUAAGCUCUCAUUACAAAUAUUUCAGAUGAUUCAGGGACCUUCAGUACGGUUUGCACUUAUCCAUAAUUGGUAGCAAUAGGUCAUUGUAGCUGUCACAUCUGUAUUUAUUCAUCUAAUUUCCUAAAUUGAACUAAAAACCUCUAUUUUCCUGGGGUCCAACACAAAACAUGAAACAUGACAUAAUACAGAACAUUAAUAGACAAGAACAGAUCAAAGACGGAACUAAAUUAAUUUUAAAAGGGCACACAUAGCCUACAUGUCAAUACAUACACACAAUAUCUAGGUUAAGAUAGCGGAGAGGCAUUGGUCGGCGAGGUGUUGCUUUACCAGUGUCCUUAAACCAUGUUUGCUGUUCAUUUGAGCAAUAUGAGAUGGAAAUAAUGGCUCUAUAUAAUAUCGUACACUUUCUUGAAUUGGUUCUGGAUUUGAGGACUUUGAAAAGAUCCCUGGUGGCAUGUCUGGUGGGGAAAGUGGGUGUGUCAGAGCUGUGUGUAAUUUGACUAUGCAAAUUAUUUGGAAUCUUCAACAAAUCAUUUAUUAUAAAAAAGAAAAAGUGAUGCAGUCAGUCUCUCUUCAAUUCUUAGCCAAGAGAGACUGGCAUGAAUAGUAUGUACACUACCGUUCAAAAGUUUGGGGUCACUUUCCUGAAGCACCUCCCACAAGUUGGAUUGGCUUGAUGGGCACUUCUCAAGUACCAUACAGUCAAGCUGCUCCCACAACUGCUCAAUAGGGUUGAG